rnacentral:rRNA from 1 species
GGGGAAUAUUGGACAAUGGGCGCAAGCCUGAUCCAGCCAUACCGCGUGGGUGAAGAAGGCCUUCGGGUUGUAAAGCCCUUUUGUUGGGAAAGAAAUCCAGCUGGCUAAUACCCGGUUGGGAUGACGGUACCCAAAGAAUAAGCACCGGCUAACUUCGUGCCAGCAGCCGCGGUAAUACGAAGGGUGCAAGCGUUACUCGGAAUUACUGGGCGUAAAGCGUGCGUAGGUGGUCGUUUAAGUCCGUUGUGAAAGCCCUGGGCUCAACCUGGGAACUGCAUCCAAAACUACUGAGCUAGAGUACGGUAGAGGGUGGUGGAAUUUCCUGUGUAGCGGUGAAAUGCGUAGAUAUAGGAAGGAACACCAGUGGCGAAGGCGACCACCUGGACUGAUACUGACACUGAGGUGCGAAAGCGUGGGGAGCAAACA